GACGAACGCUGGCGGCGUGCUUAACACAUGCAAGUCGAACGGAAAGGCCCUGCUUUUGUGGGGUGCUCGAGUGGCGAACGGGUGAGUAACACGUGAGUAACCUGCCCUUGACUUUGGGAUAACUUCAGGAAACUGGGGCUAAUACCGGAUAGGAGCUCCUGCUGCAUGGUGGGGGUUGGAAAGUUUCGGCGGUUGGGGAUGGACUCGCGGCUUAUCAGCUUGUUGGUGGGGUAGUGGCUUACCAAGGCUUUGACGGGUAGCCGGCCUGAGAGGGUGACCGGCCACAUUGGGACUGAGAUACGGCCCAGACUCCUACGGGAGGCAGCAGUGGGGAAUAUUGCACAAUGGGCGGAAGCCUGAUGCAGCAACGUCGCGUGCGGGAUGACGGCCUUCGGGUUGUAAACCGCUUUCGCCUGUGACGAAGCGUGAGUGACGGUAAUGGGUAAAGAAGCACCGGCUAACUACGU
rnacentral:rRNA from 1 species